UACGUAGGCAGCAAGCGUUGUUCGGAAUUACUGGGCGUAAAGAGUGUGUAGGCGGUGCUCCAAGUCUGGUGUGAAAUCUCCCGGCUUAACUGGGAGGGUGCAUUAGAAACUGGAAUGCUAGAGGAUGGGAGAGGUAAGCGGAAUUCCUGGUGUAGCGGUGAAAUGCGUAGAUAUCAGGAGGAACACCUGUGGUGUAGACAGCUUACUGGACCAUUUCUGACGCUGAGACACGAAAGCGUGGGGAGCGAACAGG
rnacentral:rRNA from 1 species